GUGGAAACGAGAGCAAUCUACUGGAGAUUCCUGCCUAUUGGGGGUCUUCUAAAGGAUGUUUGACUUUCUUACUCGUUUGCUACUGGAGUGGAGAUGGAUUUGGUCACCUCCGAGAGCAAUGCCAACAUGAAUGCAUGAAAAAGCAGACAAGGGAAAGCCAGUGGGCAUCAAGGCUAAUGUGAAGAGCAGAUAAAAGCUGGGGAACCUGGUCCCUUGCUGCAGCAUGCAAACAACUCUUAUGGACUUUAAAGGCACUUACCCAAAUCCUAUGGCAGAAGAUUAGGAGCCAAUUCCUGCAAGAUCUAUUUAGCUGGAAAGUAAAAGGAACUGGAAUAACUUUAAAAAAAAAAAAAAAAAAAAAAAAAAGUCUCUCUCCUUACAGAGAAACUUGGUCUCUUUAUGCCUAGUUAAUUAAUAUCCUCACAAGGUAAGUGCUCUGGUAAUCACAAAACAAUUAAACAGCUUAAUGCAGUUUUAACACGCAGAGAAUGUUGAGUUUUCAGCUUGAAAUGUCUGUAGACUGCAUUUAUUUGGUGCAGCUGUAUCUGUUAAUGCACAGACAGGCUGUGUGUACCUCUACUGCCCAUGCCCUCAACAUGUCCCUGCUGUUGAGCAGAUGAAGAAAGGGCUGGAACGGGGGGAGGAAGGCCCUCGCCUGCUCUAAGAAAGUGGCUCCCAUUCACAAAAAGAAAAGGAACAAAAUGUUCAGGAAUAUAUGCAUAAGAAGUAAAUUGCUCCUGCUGGCGUGGUGUAGUAGCCCUUUAACUAAUGCUUACCUCGACAUUUUGUAGCACAUUCUCUGCAAGAAAAACAAAUCAACGUUUUAAAAAGAGAAAGUUAUUUUUUAACUUCUUGUGUAAUGAAGGUUUUAGAAAUAAGUAAUAACUAUAUGAGAAAAUACAUCAUUGGUAAUAUACUACAAAAAAGCAUGCAAAGUACUUGCCAUUCAAGUAUGAAUUUCAUUACGUACUACAUGUAGAUAUGGCUAACUCAGUGCAUUUUGCUAAGGUAGGACUAGAUCUGGGGAACACUUCACAGAAUCACAG